GAUGAACGCUGGCGGCGUGCUUAACACAUGCAAGUUGAACGAAGCUUAUAGCACCGAUUCCUUCGGGGAGAAGUGUUAUGAGACUUAGUGGCGAACGGGUGAGUAACACGUGAGCAACCAACCCCUUACAGUGGAAUAACAACGGGAAACCGUUGCUAAUACCGCAUAAUAUCCCUAUAUGGCAUCAUACAGGGAUCAAAGAUUUAUCGGUGAGGGACGGGCUCGCGUCCGAUUAGGUAGUAGGUAAGGUAACGGCUUACCUAGCCGACGAUCGGUAGCCGGACUGAGAGGUCGAUCGGCCACAUUGGGACUGAGACACGGCCCAGACUCCUACGGGAGGCAGCAGUGGGGAAUAUUGGGCAAUGGGGGCAACCCUGACCCAGCGACGCCGCGUGAAGGACGAAGGCAUUCGUGUUGUAAACUUCUUUGGAGAGGGACGAAAAUGACGGUACCUCUCGAACAAGCCACGGC
rnacentral:rRNA from 1 species